CAACAUUUUAUACCAUAUUCAUAUUUUUGGGGUAACAUAAGGAGGCAUGCUUAAAUCGGUGCACUCAUCUCCGAGACCUGAACUUCUUGAAAAUAGUGCUAUGGGGAAAAGUUGGUUGUUAAAGAAAUUAAGCGCAACAAUUUCAUUUUUAUAUAAGAGAUGUCUUAUUUGGUGUAAUUAUAUCGAAUUGAAUCAGAUUGUAUCUGGGAUAAAAUUGUACCAGAUAGUAUCAAAUUAGAUCUAAAUUGAUAUAAUUGGAUCCAAUUUUAUAUAACCAUAUUUCGUAUCCAACUUUUUUAAUCAGGAUAUUUCUAUACUGAUAUUUUAGAUGUCUGUGUUUUAUACUUUGCCUUAGUUUUUAAUAUUAUACGGACUUAAAACGUUACUUGGGACAAACGCAAAAAUACAUACAACGCAUUCGUUUACUUCGCUUUUGAAUGUGCGUUAGUGUUUGAGUUGGAAAAAUUAUUAUAUAGUUUUUAUAAGGGAAGCAAACGCCAUCGAAAAUUUUUAAAACUUUCACAAAACAUAAAGCAAAACUAUCUAUAUGCCGUUUGCAAUUCUUAAAGCCUUUCCCAUUCAUUCUAUUAUAUACUUUUGGAGUAUGAAAUUUACUUUGUAAGGGGUUAAUGACUUUUUGUAUUUAAUGUUCGCUUCGCACUGCUAUUGGUUAUAUUUAGAAAACACAUAGCUAUCCAUAUAAUUGCACAGUAAACCAUUGACAUGAGUCAGUUUUCUCUUCAUGUCGAAUUAGUCAUUAUCCAUUCUAUAUUUCAAUUUCAUUUUUUGUACAUGAGGUGCUUACGACAAACCACUACUCACAAUAAUCUGCGCGAUUUCUUAAUUAAAACGUAUAAGACACAUAGAUGUAAAACAUCAUCUAUGAGUUUUAAAUUGAAACAAGAUAUUUUGCACGUAUGCAAUAAAUAAGAAAAUAGUAUAAAAAUUCUUUCCAUCUAAUUUUGGUAUUAUGAUUUCAAUGCAAAAACAAGCCAGCAAAAAGCAAACUUUUUGAUACGUAAAAACUUCACUAAAUCUUACUCGUAAUGUGUUGUUGCGUUAAAAAUUAAAAUAAAUAUAAGGCCAUUAUUAUAUGGGGUAUACCUUUGGUUAAAAAUAAAUUUGAAGUGCAAUUUCAAAUAUUUUUGUUAAAAAGCGUGCAGUUAGUCAUCGCUUUGUUAUGUCUUCUUUCGGUAUUACCAUCCCCACGAUUAUGGAGCUUUGUACAUACGUUCACACAUAUACACACACACACACAUUUGUGUUGAAUUACUUGCAUGACACAUCGGAAGCAACAGAAAACACAAGUUUCUAGAAAUAAAUACAAAAGACGGCCGAUGACAUCAACUGUCUGUACUGUGGUAUCUACCUCCAACCGCAGAACAAGAUGUAAGAAAAAAUGGACAACACCAAAUUUAAGUAUUAGAGCCAAAAGCAAAUCCAUAAUCAAUUCAGUCCCCGCUGCAGCAUAUGUUUCGGAAGCAUUAACACAGUACUACUAACUAUGAAUAUUUAAAAAGCCUAAAGUCGCAUCAUUCCCUUAUCUCUAAACUUUUGUUUUAAGACAUGAAGUAUUUAAGUUCUUAGCAAUAAUGAGAGAUGUUACACAUUGGCUCAAACCAGCGCAUUUUUGAAAGGCCAAAUCUCUUAGGAUUGAACUCUUAGUAUCACAAAACUGCUAAUACUAAGAGUUCAGUACGAUGUGUUUCCUUCUAGAAAAGUGUAGAAACAAAUGACAUCGCUCUGUGUGGUGUUCGACGUUAUCACGAGAAGCUUAGCUGGGAGUUAUCUUGGGCGUCCAUUGGUUGGCAAUCCAUCUUGAAUGCGCAUAGGUGAAGAAUUAUAAAAAGUAGAAAAAAAAACAACAGCGAUGCUAUCCAUAUUCUCCGCAGAUUGCAGAGAUGCAUAACAAUCAAAAUGUUUUUAAUUUUUCAGCCCAAUUUAAAAUUGGGUUUUCUAGGGCCUCAAGAAGUCAAAUCCGAGUAUCGGGUUUUAAGAGGCUAUAUCUAUUUGCGGUGCUGGGAGAAACUUGGUUUGUUGUUGUACCAGUGUAUUGUGCACCGAGGCGGCAGCCCUUGCUGAUGAAGGAUUCCAUCGGGUCAAUCCGGUACGUACAACCGACUGCCAUGAUAUUGCACUUUGUUAUCCGUUAUUAAAACAUAUUUAGUUUUUUCUUCUUUCACAAGUAUUUUAAUGGCCUGUUUAGUGUAUUCAGUAGCUACUUAUUUUUUUUAUUUGUAGUUAUUGUUGUAGCAGUCUAUUGUGCACCGAGGCGGCAGCCCUAGUCGAUGAAGGAUUCCAUCAGGUCAAUCCGGUACGUACAGCCGGCUGCCAUGAUAUUGCACUUUGUAAUCCGUUAUUAAAACAUAUUUAGUUUUUUCUUCUUUCAGAAGUAUAUUAAUGGCCUGUUUAAUGUAUUCAGUAGCUACUUAUUUUUUUUAUUUGUAGUUAUUGUUGUAGCAGUCUAUUGUGCACUGAGGCGGCAGCCCUUGCCGAUGAAGGAUUCCAUCAGGUCAAUCCGGUACGUACAACCGGCUGCCAUGAUAUUGCACUUUGUUUAUUAUCCGUCACUAAAACAUAGUUUUUUCUUCUUUAAGAAGUAUUUUAAUGGCCUGUUUUUUUAAAUAAUUAACUGAUUUCAUAUAAUGUAUUCAGUAACUAUUUAUUUUUUAUUAUAUUUUUUAAAUUUGUUAAGUAUACUAGCUGAUGGGGAGUUUCUUCAUACGGGGAGCAAAAUAUUAGUUUCCCUUUACCGCUUAUUGGGCCUUGUUUAUUUUAAAAUUCGGCUUUUAAUUCAUACGAAAUAAUGCCUCAAAUUUGCGAUGUAUUUAAUAUUAAGUGAAGCUUUUAGAAAUAUUUUUUGCGAAUAUAUACUCGCGUGUUUAAGUAAGAAUGAAACCCGCGUUAAAAUUGAA
rnacentral:sRNA from 1 species